AUAAAGUUUUAACUGAUUUGCAAUCAGGAUAUAUGAAAUUCAUACUAGAAU
rnacentral:tRNA from 1 species